rnacentral:lncRNA from 1 species
UGGAGAGGGAAGGAACUGGGGAAACAAGUUGGGGCGGAGCUUUGUCUUCCAGCGCCCCGCCCAAUGGGCGGAGCCUAAAGCAAUUUAUCAUGGACUUCAGAAAGACCGCCUUCAGCACUAAACCUCGCCUCCCCAAGAGAUCCGGCCAAUCAUCCCAGGGGUGACGUGACGUCAUCAUAACACAAAUAGGCAUCCGUAACCAUCUUUAUUCCUGGCAACUGGUAUUUGAAGUCUGCAACGGCUUUUAUUCGUGAAAAUCGCUGUGCCAGAAGCCUCCGCAGCUCCGACUCAACGUUAGCAGGAAAUGCAGAGUCCAAUAUGAAAGACUGCGGGCCCAAGACGGCGGAAGAUUUGAUGCGUAGAACGUCCCGGAAGUGGGCAUCCCGUCUUGAUUAGGGGGCGGGGCCAAGACGACGACUGCGUCACCGACUGGUCGUUUUGCGCAGAUUCUGUUUUGAUACAGCGCAUGCUUACUUUCGCCUCCUGAAGCCCAACUUCGGGUGGGGGCGGGACGUUGCUAUGGUGACGAAUACCCUCGAAAUUCCCCGGGGAUCUGCGUGCUGGUCCCUUAUGCAGUUCAUGGGCUCGACAUUCUGGGAGGGGUGAGCACAGAUGCUUGUUGGAGCCCAUCAUUCUUGAAGAAAGCACCUUCCUGGCCCAGGUGGAAUCUCUAGCUCUCCCACAACAGGGCCGUCCUGGGAAAUGUGUAUGCAGAGCUCUCCUGGCCACCUUUGGGGUGUGCAUGGCUCAGACCCUACAAGAGUGUACGGGUUUGUUUUGUUAAUGAAAUAGCCACACAUCCCGCACAUCCCACCUAAGGCUGUAUGUUUGGGUGUUUGGAGUAGCAAUCUCCUGGGACCACCUAGCCCGAUUAAGAAGGAUCUGGAGUCUUGAAGGUUUGUUUGGUUGGGGUGGGGGGGGUGGUCAAUGCAAGCUUGGGAGCCUUGUGUAUUCUGUAGUAUUCUUUUUGUGUGGAGGAAAUAAAUAAGAGGCCCUCAACCUGGUCUAUGCUGGA